rnacentral:rRNA from 1 species
CAUUUAUUAGAUAAAAAGCCAAUGCAUGCUUUUACAGUAUGGAAAUUGGUGAUUUAUAAUAACUUGGCAAAUCGCAAAGUGAAAACAGGCGAUAAAUCAUUCAAGUUUCUGACCUAUCAGCUUUCGACGGUAUGGUAUUGGCUUACCGUGGCAGUGACGGUUAACGGGGGAUUAGGGUUCGAUUCCGGAGAGGGAGCCUGAGAAACGGCUACCACAUCUAAGGAAGGCAGCAGGCGCGCAAAUUACCCAAUUCUAACAGUUUGAGAGAGGUAGUAACAAGAAAUAACAAUACAAGGCAAUUAAAAUGCUUUGUAAUUGGAAUGAUAGAAAUUUAAACCCUUUUUAAAGUAUCAAUUGGAGGGCAAGUCUGGUGCCAGCAGCCGCGGUAAUUCCAGCUCCAAUAGCGUAUAUUAAAAUUGUUGCAGUUAAAAAGCUCGUAGUUGAAGUUCUGCUAAAAGUAACCGGUCUGCUUUUAAUAAAAGUGGUAUCUUGGUGUGUAUUUAGCAAUGAUGUCCU